GGACCGGUGCUCCGAGGGGUCGAUGGGGGCGGGCUUUUAAUCCGCACGCGGAAGCGCAUCGUGGGUUCAAAUCCCACCCGGUUCUCCA
rnacentral:tRNA from 1 species